GGAUAUGUUGGAGAAAGGAUCUUAAAUAUGGAGCUGAAAAGAGAAAGACCACAGAGAAGAUUCAUGGAUAUACUGAAGCAGAGCAGGCAGAGGGGGGCAGUGAGAGACGCUCACACUCUGCAUCCACGCUGACAGGAAGGCACCUCGAUGAAGGUAAUAAAUGUACGCAAGCCCCGGGCCAUGAGACCAGCUGCUGACUGAUGCACGAUUACAUAUAAAUCCAUCCUUGUUAAGAAAUUGUGUCCAGUCAUGGAUACUACCAUAAUAACCGUCCCUCGGAGGGUUGUCACCAAGCCAGUGGUGCAGAGUGGAAGCCAGUGCCUGUUAUCAGAUGACUGGAAUAUUUUAAC